rnacentral:rRNA from 1 species
UGCAGUCGAACGGUGAUGUCAGAGCUUGCUCUGGCGGAUCAGUGGCGAACGGGUGAGUAACACGUGAGUAACCUGCCCCCGACUCUGGGAUAACUGCUAGAAAUGGUAGCUAAUACCGGAUAUGACGAUUGGCCGCAUGGUCUGGUCGUGGAAAGAAUUUCGGUUGGGGAUGGACUCGCGGCCUAUCAGGUUGUUGGUGAGGUAAUGGCUCACCAAGCCUACGACGGGUAGCCGGCCUGAGAGGGUGACCGGCCACACUGGGACUGAGACACGGCCCAGACUCCUACGGGAGGCAGCAGUGGGGAAUAUUGCACAAUGGGCGAAAGCCUGAUGCAGCAACGCCGCGUGAGGGAUGACGGCCUUCGGGUUGUAAACCUCUUUUAGUAGGGAAGAAGCGAAAGUGACGGUACCUGCAGAAAAAGCACCGGCUAACUACGUGCCAGCAGCCGCGGUAAUACGUAGGGUGCAAGCGUUGUCCGGAAUUAUUGGGCGUAAAGAGCUCGUAGGCGGUUUGUCGCGUCUGCUGUGAAAUCCCGAGGCUCAACCUCGGGUCUGCAGUGGGUACGGGCAGACUAGAGUGCGGUAGGGGAGAUUGGAAUUCCUGGUGUAGCGGUGGAAUGCGCAGAUAUCAGGAGGAACACCGAUGGCGAAGGCAGAUCUCUGGGCCGUAACUGACGCUGAGGAGCGAAAGCAUGGGGAGCGAACAGGAUUAGAUACCCUGGUAGUCCAUGCCGUAAACGUUGGGAACUAGAUGUGGGGACCAUUCCACGGUCUCCGUGUCGCAGCUAACGCAUUAAGUUCCCCGCCUGGGGAGUACGGCCGCAAGGCUAAAACUCAAAGGAAUUGACGGGGGCCCGCACAAGCGGCGGAGCAUGCGGAUUAAUUCGAUGCAACGCGAAGAACCUUACCAAGGCUUGACAUAUACCGGAAACAUGCAGAAAUGUGUGCCCCGCAAGGUCGGUAUACAGGUGGUGCAUGGUUGUCGUCAGCUCGUGUCGUGAGAUGUUGGGUUAAGUCCCGCAACGAGCGCAACCCUCGUUCUAUGUUGCCAGCACGUAAUGGUGGGAACUCAUAGGAGACUGCCGGGGUCAACUCGGAGGAAGGUGGGGAUGACGUCAAAUCAUCAUGCCCCUUAUGUCUUGGGCUUCACGCAUGCUACAAUGGCCGGUACAAAGGGCUGCGAUACCGUAAGGUGGAGCGAAUCCCAAAAAGCCGGUCUCAGUUCGGAUUGAGGUCUGCAACUCGACCUCAUGAAGUCGGAGUCGCUAGUAAUCGCAGAUCAGCAACGCUGCGGUGAAUACGUUCCCGGGCCUUGUACACACCGCCCGUCAAGUCAUGAAAGUCGGUAACACCCGAAGCCAGUGGCCUAACCGCAAGGGAGGAGCUGUCGAA